UGGGGAAUAUUGCGCAAUGGGGGAAACCCUGACGCAGCGACGCCGCGUGGGUGAUGAAGGCCUUCGGGUUGUAAAGCCCUGUCGGCUGGGAACAAGUUAGACGUGCUCAUACCACGUUUGAUUGAGUGUACCAGCAAAGGAAGCACCGGCUAACCCUGUGCCAGCAGCCGCGGUAAUACAGGGGGUGCUAGCGUUGUUCGGAAUUACUGGGCGUAAAGGGCGCGUAGGCGGUUUCGCAAGUCAGAAGUGA
rnacentral:rRNA from 1 species